ACGGAAGGUCCGGGCGUUAUCCGGAUUUAUUGGGUUUAAAGGGAGCGUAGGCCGGAGAUUAAGCGUGUUGUGAAAUGUAGACGCUCAACGUCUGCACUGCAGCGCGAACUGGUUUCCUUGAGUACGCACAAAGUGGGCGGAAUUCGUGGUGUAGCGGUGAAAUGCUUAGAUAUCACGAAGAACUCCGAUUGCGAAGGCAGCUCACUGGAGCGCAACUGACGCUGAAGCUCGAAAGUGUGGGUAUCGAACAG
rnacentral:rRNA from 1 species